rnacentral:rRNA from 1 species
GCUGGCGGCGUGCUUAACACAUGCAAGUCGAACGAUGAUCCCAGCUUGCUGGGGGAUUAGUGGCGAACGGGUGAGUAACACGUGAGUAACCUGCCCUUGACUCUGGGAUAAGCCUGGGAAACUGGGUCUAAUACCGGAUAUGACUCCUCAUCGCAUGGUGGGGGGUGGAAAGCUUUUGUGGUUUUGGAUGGACUCGCGGCCUAUCAGCUUGUUGGUGGGGUAAUGGCCUACCAAGGCGACGACGGGUAGCCGGCCUGAGAGGGUGACCGGCCACACUGGGACUGAGACACGGCCCAGACUCCUACGGGAGGCAGCAGUGGGGAAUAUUGCACAAUGGGCGCAAGCCUGAUGCAGCGACGCCGCGUGAGGGAUGACGGCCUUCGGGUUGUAAACCUCUUUCAGUAGGGAAGAAGCGUAAGUGACGGUACCUGCAGAAGAAGCGCCGGCUAACUACGUGCCAGCAGCCGCGGUAAUACGUAGGGCGCAAGCGUUAUCCGGAAUUAUUGGGCGUAAAGAGCUCGUAGGCGGUUUGUCGCGUCUGCUGUGAAAGACCGGGGCUCAACUCCGGUUCUGCAGUGGGUACGGGCAGACUAGAGUGCAGUAGGGGAGACUGGAAUUCCUGGUGUAGCGGUGAAAUGCGCAGAUAUCAGGAGGAACACCGAUGGCGAAGGCAGGUCUCUGGGCUGUAACUGACGCUGAGGAGCGAAAGCAUGGGGAGCGAACAGGAUUAGAUACCCUGGUAGUCCAUGCCGUAAACGUUGGGCACUAGGUGUGGGGGACAUUCCACGUUUUCCGCGCCGUAGCUAACGCAUUAAGUGCCCCGCCUGGGGAGUACGGCC